ACCUGUAUGUUCUGAACCCAGAAUGCAUGACUGGGCUCUGAAUUUCCUGGAACUUAAUCAGAUGAUUCUGAGUAAAAGUGAGAUACAGACACAUGGAAAUGUCAAUUCUGAAGUCUGAAUUUGAUUUUUCCAUCGACAAAGAAUCUGUGUGUCAUGCCUGUGGUUAUUUCAGCCCUUGGGAAUGAUUCCAGUCAGCUCUCUUGCCAGUUCACAUCACAGUUUGAGAAAGAUCUGCCAGAACAUGAGAACAAGAAACCCAGGAUCUAUUUUUUAUUAACUUGCUCUUUGCAUUGGUGAAUCUCAACAAGACCUUUGAAUACAGCUUGUGAGUACUGACCAGUGCAGAAAUGGAGUGCAGUGUCUAACAUUCCUUUCCCAUGAAUUCUUAAUCUGUCCUCUAAAGGAACGGGCAAAAUACAUAUUCUCAAGCUUUUCCUGCCCUUU